AUUGAACGCUGGCGGCAUGCUUUACACAUGCAAGUCGAACGGUAACAAGGUGCUUGCACCGCUGACGAGUGGCGAACGGGUGAGUAAUGCGUCGGAACGUGCCGAGUAGUGGGGGAUAACGCAGCGAAAGUUGUGCUAAUACCGCAUACGUACUGAGGUAGAAAGUGGGGACCUUCGGGCCUCACGCUAUUCGAGCGGCCGACGUCUGAUUAGCUAGUAGGUGAGGUAAAGGCUCACCUAGGCGACGAUCAGUAGCGGGUCUGAGAGGAUGAUCCGCCACACUGGGACUGAGACACGGCCCAGACUCCUACGGGAGGCAGCAGUGGGGAAUUUUGGACAAUGGGCGAAAGCCUGAUCCAGCCAUGCCGCGUGUCUGAAGAAGGCCUUCGGGUUGUAAAGGACUUUUGUCAGGGAGGAAAUCCCUAGUGCUAAUAACACUGGGGGAUGACAGUACCUGAAGAAUAAGCACCGGCUAACUACGUGCCAGCCGCCGCAGUAA
rnacentral:rRNA from 1 species